rnacentral:lncRNA from 1 species
GUCUCUGCUUCAGCUCCUGCCUCCAGGCUUCUGCCUUGAGCUCCUGAUCUGACUUUCCUCAGUGAUGGACUGUAACUGAUCUGAGGCAACCCCUGUGGAAGGAUUGUUUGAGCAUCCCAAAGGGAUCAAGGCUCACAGAUUGAAAACUGCUGCUCCAGCCUCUUCAGCUGUUUUUAUUGCAGGCAUUGAAUGAGCCUUAGGUUGGAUGUCAGACUCCUAUUCCACUUUGCACGGAAGCAUGUCAGUCAUUCAAGGAGUGUCUACAAACACAUGACAGAAGGAGGUUCAGCCCUAACUUAUCUAACCCUCUUCAGGCUGAAGACCAAAAGAUAAGCCUAAGAUGAAGACCUACCCUUCAUCCAGCUAUCCAGGAAUAAUAGUAAUUGAGGUAGAAUAAAGCAUUAGUCACAGACUGCUCCUGCUUAGGCUCUGAAACCUGU